AAAUGCACCUGGGUUUGCGCCAUUCACCUUGGCUUGGAUUGAUUUCAUAUGCAGAACGAUAAGAGGUUUGAGACGAAGCUUUUGUUGCAGCAUUAGACUGAGAAAAUGUAUUUCUAUACCGUAAUUCUUGGGGAGCAGGCAUUCUACAGCAGCAGCAGCAGCAGGAGGCAUAGACCCAAAAAGCAGUUGGUAUAAGAUUGGGAAUUCUCGACUAUUUCUAGCCCUCGUCUAACUCCACAGUUCCAGUUAUUGCUAGCUUGAUCCUUGUUUGGCUUUGUUCAUGCAAAUUCGUUGCUGCCUCUCUCUCUCUCUCUCUCUCUAUCUCUCUCUCUCUCUCAACUUUCCACUAAUUUGUAAAGGCUGCUGCAUGCUUGUGGGAUAAUAUACAUACAUAAAUGUAAACAACUAAUCAUUAGUUGCUGGAAAUUUUGUUGAGA